rnacentral:misc_RNA from 1 species
AACGGUCUAUACCUGCGGUACCUGCGGAGGGAUCAUUAUCGAGUGUUAACCUACACCCCGUAAAAAAGGGUGUGGUACCUCCCGUCCUUUGCAGGCCCCUUUUUAUUAGGGGGCUUUUUAAGACUUUCUGCUUCGGCGGGGUAACUCCCGCCGGAACACCCUCAAAAAAAUCUUGAAUCAAAAAACCGUUCAGUCCGAGAAAUUUUUUAAAAAUUAAAUAAAACUUUCAGCAAUGGAUCU